AUGGCGACCGGCGCACGGGUGAGUAACACGUAUCCAACCUGCCGAUGACUCGGGGAUAGCCUUUCGAAAGAAAGAUUAAUACCCGAUGGCAUAGUUCUUCCGCAUGGUAGAACUAUUAAAGAAUUUCGGUCAUCGAUGGGGAUGCGUUCCAUUAGCUUGUUGGCGGGUAACGGCCCACCAAGGCAUCGAUGGAUAGGGGUUCUGAGAGGAAGGUCCCCCACAUUGGAACUGAGACACGGUCCAAACUCCUACGGAAGGCAGCAG
rnacentral:rRNA from 1 species